UAAGGAAUAUUGCUCAAUGGGAGAAAUCCUGAAGCAGCAACGCCGCGUGGAGGAUGAAGGGUCUAUGACUUGUAAACUCCUGUAAAGAAGGAAAAAAUUCCCAUUUGAUGGGAGAUGAUGGUACUUCUGGAGUAAGCCCCGGCUAACUACGUGCCAGCAGCCGCGGUAAUACGUAGGGGGCAAGCGUUGUCCGGAUUUACUGGGUGUAAAGGGUGCUCAGGCGGAUUUGUAAGUCAGAGGUGAAAUCUUACAGCUUAACUGUGAAACUGCCUUUGAUACUGCAAGCCUAGAGUAUGGAAGAGAGUGAUGGAAUAUCUGGUGUAGCAGUGAAAUGCGUAGAUAUCAGAUAGAACACCAAUGGCGAAGGCAGUCACUUGAUCCAUUACUGACGCUAAAGCACGAAAGCGUGGGUAGCAAACA
rnacentral:rRNA from 1 species